rnacentral:rRNA from 1 species
UGGGGAAUUUUGGACAAUGGGCGAAAGCCUGAUCCAGCAAUGCCGCGUGUGUGAAGAAGGCCUUCGGGUUGUAAAGCACUUUUGUCCGGAAAGAAAUCCUUGGCUCUAAUACAGUCGGGGGAUGACGGUACCGGAAGAAUAAGCACCGGCUAACUACGUGCCAGCAGCCGCGGUGAUACGUAGGGUGCAAGCGUUAAUCGGAAUUACUGGGCGUAAAGCGUGCGCAGGCGGUUUGCUAAGACCGAUGUGAAAUCCCCGGGCUCAACCUGGGAACUGCAUUGGUGACUGGCAGGCUAGAGUAUGGCAGAGGGGGGUAGAAUUCCACGUGUAGCAGUGAAAUGCGUAGAGAUGUGGAGGAAUACCGAUGGCGAAGGCAGCCCCCUGGGGCCAAAUACUGACGCUCAUGCACGAAAGCGUGGGGAGCAAAACAGGAUUAGAUACCCUGGUAGUCCACGCCCUAAACGAUGUCAACUAGUUGUUGGGGAUUCAUUUCCUUAGUAACGUAGCUAACGCGUGAAGUUGACCGCCUGGGGGAGUACGGUCGCAAGAUUAAAACUCAAAUGAAUUGACGGGGUCAUAGCUGUUUCCU